rnacentral:rRNA from 1 species
AGAGUUUGAUCCUGGCUCAGAACGAACGCUGGCGGCGCGUUUAAGGCAUGCAAGUCGAACGGAAAGGUCCCUUCGGGGAUACUCGAGUGGCAAACGGGUGAGUAACACGUGGAUAAUCUACCCUAGAGUGAGGAAUAACUCUAAGAAAUUAGAGCUAAUACCUCAUAAUAUUUAACCUACUUAUGUAGGAUAAAUCAAAGGCUUCGGUCGCUUUAGGAUGAGUCCGCGUUCCAUUAGCUUGUUGGUAAGGUAAAAGCUUACCAAGGCUACGAUGGAUAGCCGGCUUGAGAGAGUGAUCGGCCACAUUGGAACUGCGACACGGUCCAGACUCCUACGGGAGGCAGCAGCUAAGAAUCUUAGGCAAUGGGCGAAAGCCUGACCUAGCGACGCCGCGUGGGUGAUGAAGGCCUUAUAGGUUGUAAAGCCCUUUUCUACGGGAAGAAUAACUGACGGUACCGUAGGAAUAAGCCCCGGCUAAUUACGUGCCAGCAGCCGCGGCAAUACGUGAGGGGCAAGCGUUGUCCGGAAUUAUUGGGCGUAAAGGGUGCGUAGGCGGAUUGGUAAGUUGGAUGUGCAAGCUCCGGGCUCAACUCGGAAAUUGCGUCCAAAACUGCCAGUCUAGAGUUUGGAAGAGGAAAGCGGAAUUCCUGGUGUAGGAGUGAAAUCUUUAGAUAUCAGGAAGAACACCUGCGGCGAAGGCGGCUUUCUGGUCUAAAACUGACGCUGAAGCACGAAAGCCAGGGGAGCAAACGGGAUUAGAUACCCCGGUAGUCCUGGCAGUAAACGUUGUAUACUAGGUGUAUGAGGCAUCGAUCCCUCAUGUGCCAAAGCUAACGCAUUAAGUAUACCGCCUGGAGAGUAUGCCCGCAAGGGUGAAAUUCAAAGGAAUUGACGGGGGCCCGCACAAGCGGUGGAGCAUGUGGUUCAAUUCGAUGAUACGCGAGAAACCUUACCAGGGCUCGACUACCACUGGACACCCUCGAGAAAUCAGGGUUCUCUUCGGAGCCGGUGGACAGUGCUGCAUGGUUGUCGUCAGCUCGUGUCGUGAGAUGUUGGGUUAAGUCCCGCAACGAGCGCAACCCCUAUCUUCUGUUGCCACCAGGUUAUGCUGAGCACUCAGAAGAAACUGCCGUCGAAAGGCGGAGGAAGGUGGGGACGACGUCAAAUCAUCAUGGCCCUUAUGUCCUGGGCUACACACGUGCUACAAUGGACGGUACAAAUGGUUGCGAAACUGUGAGGUGGAGCUAAUCCCAAAAAACCGUUCUCAGUUCGGAUUGAAGUCUGAAACCCGACUUCAUGAAGCCGGAAUCGCUAGUAAUCGCUCAUCAGAACGGAGCGGUGAAUACGUUCCCGGGCCUUGUACACACCGCCCGUCACAUCAUCCGAGUUGGGUCCACCCGAAGUCGCUGAGCUAACCCGCAAGGGAGGCAGGCGCCGAAGGUAAAUCUAAUGAGGAGGAUGAAGUCGUAACAAGGUA